rnacentral:rRNA from 1 species
UACGUAGGGACCAAGCGUUGUUCGGAUUUACUGGGCGUAAAGGGCGCGUAGGCGGCACUGUUAGUCAGGCGUGAAAGUCCUGGGCUCAACCUGGGAACUGCGCUUGAUACGGCAGAGCUAGAGGAUGGAAGAGGCUCGCGGAAUUCCCAGUGUAGAGGUGAAAUUCGUAGAUAUUCGGAAGAACACCAGUGGCGAAGGCGACUUACUGGACACAUAUUGACGCUGAGGUGCGAAAGCGUGGGGAGCAAACAGG